ACACACGAGCCCCUCCCAUAAUGAAGACUUAACUUUAUUAUGGAGAGGAUGGGAAAAGGCGGGGUCUGGCUCAUUGUCCCCAGCCGGCGGCAGGCCGGCCCAGAUCUAGCAGAGCAAAGAGCGAACUGGGAGGAUAGACAGGCGGGGAGAAGCACUGUGGUGAAGGCGGGGCGGGCGGCCGCGAAGCCGGCCAAUAGGCGUCUCUCUAGAGGCUAAGUCUAAAGGGUAGGGGCGCCGUCACUUACUAGCACUACUGCCUUCCCAAGUUUACCCUUGUGGAUGCACAGCCCGGGCAGCUCCGCUCCUCCCGGCGGAGGGGCCCAGAGAGGCAGGACGAGCGGAGUCCGGACGGAAUUUCUGAGCUAGAGGAAAGGACAGGCGCCCGGCCCGCUCUGGAGGGUCCGUGAAAGAUGAAGGGCCGGCGGCGGCGGCGCCGAGAGUACUGUAAGUUCGCGCUAUUGUUGGUGCUGUACACACUGAUGUUGCUGCUUGUCCCCUCAGUACUGGACGGCGGUCGCGACCGGGACAAGGGUGUUGGACACUGCCCGGGCCUGCAGCGCAGCCUAGGAGUGUGGAGCCUGGAGGCGGCGGCGGCGGGAGAACGUGAGCGGGGCGCGGAGGCGCGGGCCGCCGCUGAAGGGAGCACUGGCCAGUCCCCAGGCAACCUCAGUGCCGUCCGGGAGGCACCGGCUCGCGAGAAGCAACACAUCUACGUGCAUGCCACCUGGCGCACGGGCUCGUCCUUCCUGGGUGAGCUCUUUAACCAGCACCCAGACGUUUUUUAUUUGUACGAGCCCAUGUGGCAUCUAUGGCAGGCACUGUACCCGGGAGACGCCGAGAGCCUGCAGGGCGCGCUGCGAGAUAUGCUGCGUUCUCUCUUCCGCUGCGACUUCUCCGUGCUGGGACUGUACGCGCCGCCGGGGGAUCCCGCCGCGCGAGCCCCGGACGCAGCCAAUCUCACUACGGCCGCCCUGUUCCGCUGGCGGACCAACAAGGUCAUCUGCUCACCACCGCUGUGCCCCGGCGCGCCCCGUGCCCGCGCCGAGGUAGGGCUCGUCGAGGACGCCGCCUGUGAACGCAGCUGCCCGCCCGUGGCGCUACGCGCACUAGAGGACGAGUGCCGCAAGUACCCGGUGGUGGUCAUCAAGGAUGUGCGCCUGCUCGACCUGGGCGUGCUGGUUCCCCUGCUGCGUGACCCCGGGCUCAACCUGAAGGUGGUGCAGCUUUUCAGAGACCCGAGAGCGGUGCACAACUCGCGCCUGAAGUCCAGGCAGGGGCUGCUGCGCGAGAGCAUCCAGGUGCUGCGCACCCGCCAGAGGGGCGACCGCUUCCAUCGCGUGCUGCUGGCUCACGGCGUGGGCGUCCGCCCCGGGGGCCAGUCCCGCGCACUGCCCGCCGCCCCCCGGGCCGAUUUCUUCCUGACCGGCGCCCUAGAAGUCAUCUGCGAGGCUUGGCUGCGUGACCUGAUUUUUGCGCGCGGUGCUCCUACCUGGCUGCGGCGCCGCUACCUGAGGCUGCGCUACGAGGACCUGGUGCGGCAGCCGCGCACCCAGCUGCGCCGGGUGCUGCGUUUUUCCGGGCUGCGCGCGCUCGCCGCGCUGGACGCCUUCGCGCUCAACAUGACGCGCGGCGCGGCCUACGGCGCGGACCGGCCCUUCCACCUGUCCUCACGCGACGCCCGGGAGGCUGUGCACGCCUGGCGCGAGCGCCUGAGCCGAGAGCAGGUGCGCCAGGUGGAGGCCGCCUGCGCUCCAGCCAUGCGUCUCCUGGCCUACCCUCGCAGCGGAGAGGAGGGCGACGCGGAGCCGCCCAUGAGAAGGGAGACGCCACAGGAGACGGAGGUCGAAGGCACCCUGUAACCCCUCAAGGCCUGCUCUCAGGUGAAUCCGUAUAUAUCUGAAGAUGCUAAAGUGGCAUCUAACGUUGGGCUGAGGGAAGAGUUUGUUCUGCAUAAAGAUGACCACAGGAGUCCUGUUACCAGCAUGGCAAUGCAUUUCCCUGAACUUUGUUGUAAUUCAGCAUACCCCUGGGAUGUGUUCUGGGACAAAGGUUGAAGAUGUUAAUGAAGACGGAUUUUGUUGUUAAUAGAGCUUGGGUUUCAGAGUGAUUUUGGAAGCUGGCUGAUUUUUCUCCCAGUAAUCAAGUGGUUUUGUUGAUCAUUUUCUGUAAUUGCUAGGAAGUCUGUGUUCUUUCCUGAUUUCCAGAGUGGAAGAAAGUAAAGCACAGAGUAAAGUGUCACAUAGUAACAAAAACAUCCUUUCAUCUGCUAAGUCUGUAUUUACAGAUGGAACAUAAUGGUCCCUAAUCCGCUUUCACAGGCCGCAGGAGCUCCACCCCAAGGCAAAUGCUGCAACAUUUUAUGGUUUUAUGACAAUCUCCCAAAAUCUUUUUUUGCCCCCCAACAUUUUUACUAACAUGUAUUGAAUGCUGGCUGGGAUGAGGUAAUAAAGAGAAUGGAGAGAAGGGUAGAGGACAUGGAUUCUGCCCUCUAGGAAGUGCAAGUCUUUGCUCCUGACAGUGACUAUGUGGGAAGACACCGAUGCCACUGUUUAGAAGUCCAGUGGGGCUUCCUUUGUAGGGACAUCUGGGUGCAAGUUUUAAGCUCUUCCAAACUGGUGAUUGAGCCCUUCCUCCCAUAUUGGGCUCUUCCUACUAACUAGUAGUUAUUAAAAUGUUUGUAUUCCUGGUUCCUAGGAAGAUUAUUUUACUGAUCCACUAAUAAGUUUUCCAAACGUUUAUCACACUCUAGGAAAGAGAAAGGAAAAGAAGAGAAUAGAUCCUUAUAGGACUUUAUGCCAUGCAUUACAUUAAGCAUUGUACCUAUAUGAGUAUUUAUACCAAUUUACAUAUGAGAAACCUGAGACUCAGAAAAGUAACUUGCCUAAAGUCUCCCUGGGCUAGUGAGGGUGGAACAGUGCUCAGUGUUAGGUUCCAGAGCCCAUAAUCUCUCCAUUGUACUUGCGCUGCCUGGCCCCCCUUGCAUCCCCUGGCAGCAACUUUGGUACCCCAGCUGGCCUUACAGGUUAGUUUGGGGUGCAAAACACACUUAGUUUCAUUACUAAUAUGUUCCUGUUGUAGUCAGUAUUUGCAAGAGAAACAUACUUAAUGCAGGACACAGAAAAUUUACAAGGUUAGCUAUAUCCACCCACAGAGUCAAAUGUAGAAGAGUGCAAGAGAUCUGUCUGCAAGCUAGAGAUCUGGAGAGUCCAGCAGAAGGUCUAGAGCCCAUGGCAGUGUCCCAUACGAGUUCAUGUCAGGAGGCCGAGGAAUCUGCAAUAGAAGACUGAAGGUUUUGUGCUGGAAAGCCUGAGGGCCAGUACUGGAGGCUAGAGAGUCUGUGCUGGCCAGCCAAAAAGGUGGUGCUGAAAGCUGAAGAAGCAGUGCCAAAAGUCAGAAGACAAUGCUCAAGGCGAGGACUGGAGCUCCUCCAAAGAAAACAACAGCCACCCUUGGCGAAGGCGAGGAAUGGAGCUCCUCUGAAGAGAACACCUAAAGCUCUUCCAAGGAAAAUCAACUGAAAUCACCCCCUUCUCCUUUUAUACUGUUCUAACAACAAUCCUUAAAUGGGUAUUUCACGCCUGAACCAUGCUGACUCAUUUCAGCUGGGCAUUCCCACUCAAGUUGAAAAUUAAUUAAUUAGCCACCACAGUUCCCAACUAUGAACAAAUAAAAUAUCCCUGAGCUACUGACAGUACCUACAGCCAUCUUCCCUGCAGAACACCUGAGCAUGCAUGUCCUUGGCUCAGCAUUGAUGAGAGGUUGCAUGUGAAUUAACCUGAGUAACUGCUGAAUGAUCCAUACCUGAUAGCCAGAAUUUAUCAGGGAAGGAGUAGGUGAGCUUUUCUCAGGACUGACCAGGGUGUGCAGAAUCCUAAACCAAGUUAUCAAGGACCCAGGCUCUUUCUUUUACAUCUUCUUGCCUUUUACUAGUAGCUCAUGUCCCCAUUGUCAGAAGAUAGUAGCCACAGCUCUAAGCAUCACAUCUGCAUCAAGACUUUUACACAGGGUUGUUAAAAUGCAGAAAGGAAGAAAGGUGGUUAGUGGGUAAGGGGUGGAGAGGUAUCCUCUUAUGCAAUGCUUUUUCCUUUAAUCUCCUUAUGAAAACCUUUCCCAGAAACCUCUACCCCAGCUGACUUCCUUUUAUGUCUCACUGGCUAGAACUGAGUCUCAUGGCCUGCCCUAGCCCAAUAAUUGGCAAAAAGGAAAUGGGAGCAUCCUGAUUGGCUUAGACCAGUAGAUCUCAGCCCUUGAAAAUUACAGCAGUGUCUCUCCUACCCUAACCCGGUCCUUAUCCUGGGGAAUAUGUUCUCAGAGCCCCCGUGGAUCCCUGAAACCACAGAUAGUACUAAACCCUAUUAUAUUGUUUUUUAUACACACACACCUAUGAUAAAGUUUAAUUUAUAAAUUAGGCACUGUAAAAGAUGAAUCAUAAUAAAAUAGGAAAUUAAAACAAUAUAUUAUAAUAGAAUUACAUGAAUAUAAUCUUUCAGCUGCCAGAGAGCAGGUAGUAUGUACAGUGUGGAUACACUGGGUGAAGGGAUGAUUUAUAAGCCAGGAAGGAUGAAGCAGGACUGCAUGAAAUUUCAUCAGAACAGCAAUAUAAAACUUAGCAAUUAUUUCUGCAGUUUUCUGUCAAUAUAUUUGGACUGUUUUUGGCUGGAUAACUAAAACCUCAGAAAGUAAACCCAUGGGUAAUAGGGGAACUAUUGGUGUACAUUCACCUUAGGAGCAUUCUUUUAAAACAUGGUAGUACCUGUGCUCCACCCCUGGAGCUUUUUAUUUUUUUUCUUUUUGUGUAAUGCUGGGGAUGGAACCCAGGGCCUUGCAUAUGCUAGGCAAGUGCUCUACCACUGAGCUACACUCACAGUCCAGAAAAUUCUGAUUUAAUUGUCUGGAGUGAGGUAGGGUGAUUCCAGUUGUACAGCCAAAGCUGAAAACCACUAGCUUGGACCAAUCAGUGAUUCAUCCCCUGGGCCAAGCAGUGGCACUGGAGCAAGAUCAGCAUGGGGAAUCAAGGGCUGUUGAUGAGCAGAAAACCAUCUACCACCAUUAUUUAUGUGAAAAGAACUUGAAAUUAUGAAGUGCCAAGCAGAUUUAGGGCAUUACUGUGGAAAGGAAAAUUAUACUCAGGUUCCUUUGUCACCUUGUCACAAGAUGUUAAAUGCUUUGUCUGUGGCUCCUUAUAUAAGGGUAUGUCAUUGUAUGUACAGGAUCAUUCCCUGCUGUUCUAAACAGACUGAUGUGCUGUCCUGUCCUUUUCAGAAUGUCUUCUUUUGAAUUCCACCCUUGAUAGGACUCAAAAUUUCAUCCCUAUAGGCGUUUUAUUUAUUUUGGUGCUGGAGAUAGAAACAAGGGCCUCAUGUAUGCACUGUACCACUGAGCCACAGCCCAGGAUACUUUGGUGUUUUUCUUGACAAGAUCUGUGCACCCUUUGAAAGAAAUGAGGAAAAGAGGCAAGUACCCUGUAACUUGUGCCCCAACAAUCAAGAAACUUUCUUUCUAAGAAAAUUGUCCAAACAGAAAACAAAAUGACCAGCCACCACCAAAUCCCUAAUAACCCACUUUGAAAAUAUUUCAUCUUAAUCAAAGGUGCAGGUUUAUGUAUAAAUAUUGCUGAAAAAUACAGUCUGUGCCUUAAAGACUGCUAAAGAACAGACAUUAGGAAACAUUGCCCUAUAUAGAAUUUCUCAUUCAACAAAAUUUGCUCACACUCUCAAUAGCAAAUCAACCUGGGUUCUGUGUUUGAGCUAGAGAGCUAGAAGUUAGGCUGCUGCUGCUGUUGCUGUGUGUGUGUGUCUGUCUCUUGUCUGUCUGUAUGUGCACACACGCGUGCACAUAGAUAGCUGUCUGAGUGAUGGAGCUGCAGGAGGGUGUGAACAGUUUUCUAAAUCACAUCCAUGUCCAAAUCAUUAUUGCCCCUUGUGAGGUUAGUGCUGCCUUUGAUCCAGACAUCCUCAACACUCCCCCUUGGGCCUGCCUUUCCUGGCAGGACUCUUCAGUUGAUGGUGGACUUUGGUGCUUAGGAAGUCAAGACUCAUCAAAUCUGGAGACUGAGGCAGGGGAGGAGGCUGGUACUCCAAGGUGAGGUGUCGACUGAAAGUACUGGUUAUUUCUUGGUUCCUACGGAGUCAGUUUUUAUAUUAGGACACAGGAACCCAGGCCUCGGGGUGUGGGUCUUCUGGUCACUCCUUGAGUAAGUAUAAGUGGUUGGGGACUAAGAGUUUGGCCCAGUCUUCGAGUGCUUGCCUAACAUGUAUGAGGCCCUGGGUUCCAUUCCCAAUACUGCAAAAACAGUCAAACGAAAUCCAUAAAAACAAAAAGGAGAAUGAAUAGGAAGAUUUCUAAGGUUUCUUGGUGCUAAUGGGAGGUGACAUUUAUUGAGCACCUAUAUUUUGCAUUCAAUUGAUGCAUAAUAUUUCAGUCCUCAGCUCUGUGUGGUAGAUAGAAUCCACAUUUUUUCCCCCCUGGUACCAGGGAUAGAAUUCAGGACCUUGCGCUUUCGAGGCAGACAGACGCAGUACCACUGAGCUAAAUCCCCGGCCCUAGAAACCACAUUUUAAGGAUGAUGAAAGAAGCUCAGAGGUUAGGUAAGUUGUUAAGGAUUACACAACAAGAGGAUUAAAAUCAGGUUCUUUUUAUUUUUAAAGUAGUGUCUUUAAAAUUUGUAGAAAUAAUGUAAGCAGGUGGUAAAAAGAGUUAAACAGUGUAGAAAGGUAUAAAACUGCCAGUCUCAGUUCCUACAAGUGACCACUACAUUUCUUGUGGUGUGUGUCUAGAAACUUUUAUGCAAAUUCAAACUGAAAUAUAUUGCUUUUUAUAUACAUAAGUGAAUAUUGUCCUUUUUUUAACUUAAGGCUUUUGAAAUCUUCCUGUAUCAUCUCAUUUUUUAGUGGCUAUACUGUAUUUCAUUGUAGAAAUGUAUUAUUACGCAUCUACAUAGUUCUUACCUCCAGACUUUAGGACAUUUAGAUCGCUGAAGGGUUUUGCUGUAUUUCACUGCAUUUUGAGUAACAAAUUUAUGCUAUCUUUGCAUAUGCGUGAGUAUAUCUGUCAGAAAUUUACUAUAGUAAAGUGGCCUUAUGUACCAAAAGGUGUAUGCUCUUUACAUUUUAAGAGGUAAAAUUCUUCAAAAUCAUUCCAACUUUCACGCCCACCAGUGGUUUCUUCAAGUGUCUGUUUCUCAGACUUUCAGCAACCUGGAUUUUUCUUGGUUUUCUCAUCUUGGCUAGUCUGAUGGAUGAGAGAUCCUUUUUGUGUGCACCCUGGCUCUCUCUGACCUUAUAGUUCAUUUCAACGUGAAUGAUUGCCUCACACCUUGGGUUGUAGUAACUAGGGUGCCAAAAUGAAACGAACUUCUUAGCCCUUCCGCAGUCCACAUCUAUUUGGAGGGUGUCAUUUUUGUGACAUUUUGAAGGACAUUUUGAAUAUACGUACAUUUUGCUACAAAAUUGGUAUCCCCUUGUAAAACCACAUUUCCACAUGACACCAGGUUUUGGCAAAUUUCUUGCUCAGGAUGGCCUUGUUCAGAACUGUUGCACUGGAUUAUUGCACAAGGAUGAUUGACUUGAACAUCAGUGACUUGGGGACAUUAGCACUGAGGAAAUUUGGCUGGUUUUAAAUAAAAUAACUUUUUAUACA